GAGUUUGAUCGUGGCUCAGAUUGAACGCUGGCGGCGUGCUUAACACAUGCAAGUCGAGGGGUAACAGGCGUAGCAAUACGUGCUGACGAGCGGCGAACGGGUGCGUAAUACAUGGGAAUCUGCCCUUUGGUGGGGAAUAACCCGGCGAAAGCCGGGCUAAUGCCGCAUGAGAUCUUCGGAUGAAAGCGGGGGAUCGUAAGACCUCGCGCCGAUGGAUGAGCCCAUGUCGGAUUAGCUAGUUGGUGAGGUAACGGCUCACCAAGGCGACGAUCCGUAGCUGGUCUGAGAGGACGGCCAGCCACACUGGGACUGAGACACGGCCCAGACUCCUACGGGAGGCAGCAGUGGGGAAUUGUUCGCAAUGGGCGCAAGCCUGACGACGCAACGCCGCGUGGAGGAUGAAGAUCUUCGGGUCGUAAACUCCUUUUCGAUCGAGACGAAUGGCUUCCGGACUAACACUCCGGGAGAAUGACGGUACCGAGAGAAGAAGCCCCGGCUAACUCCGUGCCAGCA
rnacentral:rRNA from 1 species